AAAGGAAUUGACGGGGGCCUGCACAAGCGGUGGAGCAUGUGGUUUAAUUCGAUGCAACGCGAAAAACCUUACCUACCCUUGACAUCCUUGGGAGCCUGCAGAGAUGCGGGUGUGCCGAAAGGAACCAAGAGACAGGUGCUGCAUGGCUGUCGUCAGCUCGUGUCGUGAGAUGUUGGGUUAAGUCCCGUAACGAGCGCAACCCUUAUCUUUAGUUACCAGCGGGUAAAGCCGGGAACCUUAAAGAGACUGCCAGUGAUAAGCUGGAGGAAGGCGGGGAUGACGUCAAGUCCUCAUGGCCCUUAUGGGUAGGGCAACACACGUGCUACAAUGGACGGAACAGAGGGACGCGAAGCCGCGAGGUGGAGCAAAUCCCAGAAAACCGUUCGUAGUCCGGAUUGGAGUCUGCAACUCGACUCCAUGAAGAUGGAAUCGCUAGUAAUCGCGGAUCAGCAUGCCGCGGUGAAUACGUUCACAGGCCUUGUACACACCGCCCGU
rnacentral:rRNA from 1 species